GAAAGCCCUUUUGGAUGGCGCCCGUCUUAAUUUGCAGUGACGCACGGCUGAGUAACACGUGACUGACCUACCCCGAAGUUCUGAAUAACCUGGCGAAAGUCGGGCUAAUACAGGAUGUGCAGUAUCGCUGUGGCGAUGCUGCAAAGAUUUAUCGCUUUGGGAUGGGGUUGCGUUCCAUCAGCUAGUUGGUAGGGUAAAGGCCUACCAAGGCGACGACGGAUAGCCGGCCUGAGAGGGUGGCCGGCCACAGGGGCACUGAGACACGGGUCCCACUCCUACGGGAGGCAGCAGUUAGGAAUCUUCCACAAUGGGCGAAAGCCUGAUGGAGCGACCCGCGUGAGGGAUGACGGUCUUCGGAUUGUAAACCUCUGAACUAGGGACGAAAGACGCUUUAUGGGAAUGAACGUACCUAUGGUAAUAUACACCGGGUAACUCUUGUGCCAACAGCCGCGGGAAUAUAGGAGGGUGCGAGCGUUUCCCGGAAUUCUGUGGCGUUAAGAGCGUGUUGGCGGCUUGUUAUAUCUGCUCUUUUAAACACGAAAUCAACUGUGGGAGAGGACUGUGUAUUUGUAACUUGAACUCUGGAGAGAGAACUGGGAUUUUUUGUGUGCGGGGGGAACAUGGUUUUACGUUCACUUUUACACAAUACUUGUAUUAUUAUUCCGUGCCU
rnacentral:rRNA from 1 species